GGGCUCAACCUGGGAACUGCCUUUGUGACUGCAUAGCUAGAGUACGGUAGAGGGGGAUGGAAUUCCGCGUGUAGCAGUGAAAUGCGUAGAUAUGCGGAGGAACACCGAUGGCGGAGGCAAUCCCCUGGACCUGUACUGACGCUCAUGCACGAAAGCGUGGGGAGCAAACAGGGUUAGAUACCCUGGUAGUCCACGCCCUAAACGAUGUCAACUGGUUGUUGGGAGGGUUUCUUCUCAGUAACGUGGCUAACGCGUGAAGUUGACCGCCUGGGGAGUACGGCCGCAAGGUUGAAACUCAAAGGAAUUGACGGGGACCCGCACAAGCGGUGGAUGAUGUGGUUUAAUUCGAUGCAACGCGAAAAACCUUACCUACCCUUGACAUGCCAGGAAUCCUGCAGAGAUGUGGGAGUGCUCGAAAGAGAACCUGGACACAGGUGCUGCAUGGCCGUCGUCAGCUCGUGUCGUGAGAUGUUGGGUUAAGCCCCGCAACGAGCGCAACCCUUGUCAUUAGUUGCUACGAAAGGGCACUCUAAUGAGACUGCCGGUGACAAACCGGAGGAAGGUGGGGAUGACGUCAGGUCAUCAUGGCCCUUAUGGGUAGGGCUACACACGUCAUACAAUGGCCGGGACAGAGGGCUGCCAACCCGCGAGGGGGAGCUAAUCCCAGAAACCCGGUCGUAGUCCGGAUCGCAGUCUGCAACUCGACUGCGUGAAGUCGGAAUCGCUAGUAAUCGCGGAUCAGCUUGCCGCGGUGAAUACGUUCCCGGGUCUUGUACACACCGCCCGUCACACCAUGGGAGCGGGUUCUGCCAGAAGUAGUUAGCCUAACCGCAAGGAGGGCGAUUACCACGGCAGGGUUCGUGACUGGGGUGAAGUCGUAACAAGGUAGCCGUAUCGGAAGGUGCGGCUGGAUCACCUCCUU
rnacentral:rRNA from 1 species